rnacentral:rRNA from 1 species
AAGUCGAACGAGGUGGCCCACAGAAUUUGAUAGAAACUUUGAGAGCUUGCUCGAGAAGUGGAAAGAGAAGGACGUGGAAUUUCCACCUAGUGGCAAACGGGUGAGUAACACGUGGGUUACCUACCUCUUAGAUGGGGAUACCAAUUGGAAACGAUUGUUAAUACCGAAUGUGAUCUACGGAUUAAAGGAAGCCUUUAAAGCUUCGCUAAGAGAUGGGCCUGCGGUGCAUUAGAUAGUUGGUGGGGUAAGAGCCUACCAAGUCAACGAUGCAUAGCUGAACUGAGAGGUUGAUCGGCCACACUGGGACUGAGACACGGCCCAGACUCCUACGGGAGACAGCAGUUAGGAAUAUUCGUCAAUGGGGGAAACCCUGAACGAGCAAUGCCGCGUGAACGAUGACGGUCCUCUGGAUUGUAAAGUUCUGUUGUUUGGGAAGAACGGCUCUAAUAGGAAAUGAUUAGAGAUUGACUGUACCAUUCAAGAAAGCCACGGCUAACUACGUGCCAGCAGCCGCGGUAAUACGUAGGUGGCGAGCGUUAUCCGGAUUUAUUGGGCGUAAAGCGUCCGCAGCCGGUUUAUUAAGUAUAGAAUAAAACUUCGGGGCUCAACCCCGUCUCGUUCUAUAAACUGAUAGACUAGAGUGUGGUAGAGGCAAGUGGAAUUUCUAGUGUAGCGGUAGAAUGCGUAGAUAUUAGAAGGAACACCAGUGGCGAAGGCGACUUGCUGGGCCAUCACUGACGGUCAGGGACGAAAGCGUGGGGAGCGAAUAGGAUUAGAUACCCUAGUAGUCCACGCCGUAAACGAUGAGCACUAAGUGUCGGGCAACCGGUGCUGAAGUUAACACAUUAAGUGCU